rnacentral:lncRNA from 1 species
CCCGCCAAUUUAAGCCUGUGGCAUGGAACCUAAAGACUAGAGGCGGUUGUGUGAGUCAGGAAGAGGGGCCAGAUAUCUGAGUGUUCCUCUUUAGUUUCUUCAAUUGCAGAGAGAGGUUGGAGUCGGUUUUUGCUGGCGGCGAUGUCCAGCGGAGAGCGUUUAAGUAUGGAGGCCUAACUGACAAGUGUUUCAUCUUGCUCAUUCUCUCGUAUUCGCGAAUCUGUUCUGCAUUCCGCCGCCAGAGUGAUCUCAAAAUUAUAAAAUCAGACCACUCGUUUGCUGAGUUCCCCUUCUACCCCUUGUACUGAGAAUAAAAUUCAAUCUUGAGGUCGAGGUUUUAUUGGACUCCACUGCUCUCUCCCUCACUGUCUUCUGCUUUUGCUUUGACCCGGCAGCAGCAUCAAACGCUUCCUACCCAGCCUCCGAGUCUUUGCACUCUGUUCCCUCUGCCUACGUCGCGUUCCGCCUAAGUUUUGCG